UUUAAAUACAACCAUGAGUUUCCGUGCUCAAUUUUAAUCGUCCGUCUUAUUCUUUUUUUUAUAAUUAGUAUUUUAUUGUUAUGAGAUGAUAAAGCAUGAAUAUUACUUUAUGCGUGACUUAUGUAAAAAAUUUAAAAAUAAGACGGACGAUCAAAGUUGAGCACGGAAAAUCAUGGCUGACUGCACUUAAA
rfam:Oryza sativa Japonica Group DNA, chromosome 5, cultivar: Nipponbare, complete sequence.